UACGUAGGGUCCGAGCGUUGUCCGGAAUUAUUGGGCGUAAAGGGCUCGUAGGCGGUUCGUCACGUCGGGAGUGAAAACUCGGGGCUUAACCCCGAGCCUGCUUCCGAUACGGGCAGACUAGAGGUAGGCAGGGGAGAGCGGAACUCCUGGUGUAGCGGUGGAAUGCGCAGAUAUCAGGAAGAACACCAGUGGCGAAGGCGGCUAUCUGGACGGUUUCUGACGCUAAGACGCGAAAGCGUGGGGAGCAAACAGG
rnacentral:rRNA from 1 species